rnacentral:lncRNA from 1 species
UUCCCCUCGCCGAAGCCGCGAACGCCACCAGCCGGAAGCGCGUAUAUAAAUACUCGCGCCGGCGCUUUGUGGUCUUCCUAGUGUCCACGAGUUCGUGCUUCCGUUUUCAUGUCCAGGUAGGUCGCUCCUGAUGGGCUUUGACCCAGUAAAUGGGCGUUCGUUGAAAAUCAUCCUCGGCUUUGGCCUGUGGCCGGGGUUGAGAAUCGGCGCCCAGAGCCACAGAGGCCUCAGCUCACCCCCUGCUGCCCCAGUGUGGGAGGGUGAAACCCAGGCCCCUACAUUCCAGAUCGCCUCGCCGCUCCCGCGGUCUGGCUUGGGGCCACAGUCCUAAUCACGUCAUUUAUUUCACAGGUUCCACUGGAUCUGAACGUUGUCGCCGCCUCCCCCGCAAGAGUGGCAGUGUUCGGGUGUCCUCUUUUCUCAAAAUGAGUUAAUUCCACCGGAUCUGGACGUUGCCGCUGACUCUCCCGCGAGAAUGACAGGGUUCGGAUGUCCUCUUUUCUCAAAUAAAAUGUUUUAACUUAACUGUGUAUUAAUGUGUUGGACGGUUAC